UGGACUACUAGCAAUAGCUUAAAACUCAAAGGACUUGGCGGUGCUUUAUAUCCCUCUAAAGGAGCCUGUUCUAUAAUCGAUAAACCCCGAUAAACCUCACCACCUUUCGCUAAUUCAGUCUAUAUACCGCCAUCUUCAGCAAA
rnacentral:rRNA from 1 species